UGGGGGAGUAUUGCACAAUGGGGGGAACCCUGAUGCAGCGACGCCGCGUGGGUGAAGAAGCGCCUCGGCGCGUAAAGCCCUGUCAGCAGGGAAGAAAAUGACGGUACCUGAAGAAGAAGCCCGGCUAACUACGUGCC
rnacentral:rRNA from 1 species